UAGGGAAUCUUCCACAAUGGGCGCAAGCCUGAUGGAGCAACGCCGCGUGAGUGAAGAAGGUCUUCGGAUCGUAAAACUCUGUUGUUAGAGAAGAACACGAGUGAGAGUAACUGUUCAUUCGAUGACGGUAUCUAACCAGCAAGUCACGGCUAACUACGUGCCAG
rnacentral:rRNA from 1 species